CACAGGCCUGACUCUGGGGUCUCCUCUGGCCCUCUGGGCCCUGCCGGUGCUGUCAUCACUCACCUGCUGAGAGCUUUCCUAAAGCCAAGAGGGCCCUCUCUUGAUGCCACCUGGCUGAGGCUAGGGCGCUGCCUGGCUUUGGAGGAGAAGGCGGGGGCUGGGAAACGGACACAUUUUGUGUUUCCAGAGACCAGGUGUUCCCAAAGUUCGCCUGGCCUUUUGUUAUGGGGCUCUUUCGGUGAGCUAAGGGGGCCCUGGGAGGGACUGUGCUGUGUGAGAAUGGGGGACUGGAGGAGCCGGGCAGAGCUUUAGGUGGGGGAACCCUAGUGCAGUGGGAGAGCAGGAGGCCUCCCGGAGGCCGGCUGGGAGAGGCUCCUGCAAGUUUUGUCACUGGGAAGUGCCUCUUCCCCACAGCUGUGAUCCUCACCGCCCUCUAGCCUAGUGCCUCCCUCUCUGUCACCCCUUCAGCCUGGGAACCCAAGGCCACAGGAAGCCAGGGGCUGCCUCGCAGAAGGAUGACCUGGCUCUCCACUGCCCGGCAGGGGGCGCCCCACAGCAUCUGCCCCGCUCCUUUUAGGUGUGGGACAGUGUGGUCAGGACCUGGUCCAGGCCUUCUGGCCACGGGUGGGGGAGGGGCAGCCUAGCGUCCCCACCCCCAGAGGUUCCUUAGCUGAGUUUGUUUGCCAGGGUGACCUGUUUAAUCAUCUCAUUUUCUGGUGGCCGUUUAUUCCUCGUUUCCACGGUUACGGCCCCAUUAAGGGGAGAAGCAAUAAGGCGGUGAGUCAAACAGGUAAUAAAAACAUGCAGAGCCCCUGUGCACCAAGAGAGGGUGGCGGGGAGGGGCGCAGUGAGCUGAGACGGCCUGGGGGGCAGCCCAGGUGACAUCCUACCUGCCUCGUCCUCCAGAGGUCCGAGUGCCCCCAAGACCCAGUCCUCAGCUUACCCGUCCCCAGCCCUUGGUCCCUUGGGCAACAGGCUGUCCCGGGUAAAACAGGAAGGAGAAAGGGGAGAGGGGGCGUGAUACAAGCACCCCCAGGGCUGCCCCACAGUUGGUGUGUGACCUGUUUCCAGGCCCCACCUCGUGCUCCCUUGGCAGGGGCAGGGGAUGAUUUCUGACAUUGGUUUGAGCUCUAGAAUUUUUUUUCUGCCAACUUUAUCAGAAAGCAUAUUUGUGGUGAGUGCUGCUAACAGGGCCAGUCCGGUGAGUAAAUAUUCCUGGUGUGGACGGCCCUGUGACCUUGAGAGGGAAGAGUACAGUGGUGCAGCCAAGGGCAUAUAAGGAGAGGAGAGGACGGCCAGGCAGCCAUGGGCCCCCCGUGCUGGGUGGGGAGCCCUUCCUGGGAAGGGGUCAGGUGGGGGCCACGGGGUCAGGUUGGCCCCAGUAGCCUCUUCCUAGCAGCAUGGUCUGCCUCAGGCCCCAGUGACACCAGCUGGAGCUGGGUUGUGUGACUUGCUGGUUGGGGGACAGGCCGGCAGCUGCCCCUGUGGGCUCCCUUCCUCUAGUAAAUGGAAGCUGAAAUGAAAAGUCAGCCUCUUUCCAGCCCCUCUGAGUCCGGGGGCACAUGCCUCCCUCCCAGUGUCCCCUCCCUGUCCUUCCCAGGAGCUUCCUGGCUAUCCCCAGCCCCUCUGCCCUGCCCCCGAGGUUUUUUAAUAAGCAGAGGCAGAGUAGACAGAGGGAGGCUGGGGUCUUCCUGUUGCCAGGAAGGGUGGGGCUCAGACAGGCGUAGCAAUGCCAGGCCAUGCGGGGCCAGCUUCGUGCCCGGGGGCUGAGGAUCAGUGGCUCAGAGAGAAAACAGUCAAGGCCACUCUGAGGGCUCCCAGGUUGGGGAGGAGCCUCCCUUCUCUCCAACGCCAUGCUUCCUGACAAACUCACCGAGGUCUGUGUCUCUGAUUAUUAAUUUCAAAGUUGAUUUCUGAUGAGAGAGAGAGGGAAGAAGGUGUGGGAAAUGGGGGAACCCUUUGGCUGGGAAAUGCGUCUUGGGAAUGGGCCUAGAUGAGUGAAUAUUCUGAUCAAACAAUUAAAAAUAGAGCAUGCUCCCGAGGCCCCAGCUGCCGAGGUUUUUCAGCAACUGUCACCAGCGGGUUCAUGGGGCAGGUGGCACUGGAAAGGAGUUUUUCCACAAACAACAAAUAUCAGAGAUGACAGGGUGCCCCCCACUUCCCUCCCAGUUCUCCCCAGACUCCCCUCUAGGGCCUGUGCAGCUUCAGGGCCGCCCUUCUCCCCUGCGGGGCCCGGCCGCAGCGGUGAAGUCAUCGCCAGAUGCCUUGGUAAUUGCUUUAAGAAUCUAACUUAAAAUAAGAUGAAAACUUAUAUUCCUGGGUAAGGAGUAAUUUCCCAUGUAAUAGUAAAUUAAUGAAAGGAUUAUACCAGGGGGCCUGGCGGGGAGGCCAUGCUCAUCUGAUAAAUGCAAGGGUUUCAGGCAAGACAACUCCAUUCCAGGAGGACCUUUGGGCCAGGUCCCAUGCUGGGGGUUCCUUGUGGGCUCCCCCAUGGGCGGCUGAGUUGGGAGGACACAUUCCAUGUGUGCUCAGCAUCCCUCUCAAUGACAGGAACCAGCUUUUCAAAACCUACAGAUGGGAAAGGCUCAGGUCUGGCCUCCACAGGCAUGAGAGGCCCUGUGUCAUCAGUUCGCCCAGGAAAGAGAGGAUUUCUGACACCCGAGAGUGUGAGACCCGAGGAGCAGAUGCGAGCUAGACUCCGGGCUGAGUUUCCAGCUCUCAGACCGUGUGGUCAGCUUCGUGGUGUCUCGAAAUAGGAUGACCAACCACCCCAGUUUGCCCAGAACUGCAAAGACCCAUGUGUGUGAACCCCCCCAGUCCUGGGCAAACUGGGAGGGUUAGUCAGCCCUGUUUGGAGGCAGGAGGAUGGGCUACUUGACAUGGUCCCACCCUCAGGGUCCUGGAGAGCCCAGGCACCUCUUGAAUGGACUACGUCUCUGUCCAGGAGGGGGACUUGCGGCUGGCUCCACUUAAACCCCCUCGUGCUACCAAAACUUGUUCCCAGGGUGCUGCAUUCCGCUAGGCGCAUGUGCUGGGGUGGGCAUGCUCGUGCCCCCCCGCCCCCUGCAAGGCAUGGCAGGGCACUGCUUGGAAGCUUGACCUGGCCUAAAAAAGGACUUGUAGCUGCGAUCCCACCGCUUUAACACUGAGUCUUCUCCCCCAACAUAUCACAGUCCAGGUGGGGCUUCUGGAGAGGAUGCGGACAAGGCAACCCCCACCCCCCAGCCCCUCACUCCCCCACCACCGUAAGUUUAUCAGCGCCUUCCUUCCGAGACAGCCACACCUAACAUCUCAUCUCUCCUCAUCGGUUCCCUUGGAGGAAGACAAGGAGCUGUCCCAUUUCCUAAGCGGGGAAGCUGGAGGCCCUGAGAUAGUGCUGGGUUUGUUCCCAAACACUAAAUGCCAGAGGACUUGGUGCGGGGCUCCCCUGAGCACUGUUCCAAAUGGCAGCACUGAGUGAGGACACACAGGCUUCCAGCCAUGGGUAUCUACUGUGCUGCCUGGCCCACGUCCCCAGAUGUCUGUGGCCCCUGUGUAUACCCCGCCUGUAGUCUUCGAACACAUCCCUGGGCUGCAGGGAUGCAAGAUAAACUGUAGUUGUUGAUGCAGAUGCAUUUUGAGCUUCUGGGGGGAAAGCCUCCUUUUCUAGAGGCAUCCCGGAGUGCCCAUCUUUGCAGAAACGAGUGCUCCCGUCUGUCCGCAGGGGAGGGGUGCAGGUGGGCGGAACGCACUCCGACUUGUCUCUCUGGCGAAAUGGAAGUGAAAGGACUGGACGCAAAGCCCUUCAGGAAGCAUGUCUAACCAAACGGGCAUUCUCCUAGGAGACAGGUUCACGAUGCAUGUUCGCUGGAUAUGUUUCUGUGUAAGCAGAGACCUUGCUGGAAGGGAAGAUGGGGACCUUACCCCCUGGUUCGCUGGGAGACCAUUUUCAGUUCAGCUCAGCGGUGGGUAUCCCCACUGGCUUUCUUUGCUACUAGAGGUGAUGGGACUUCCUUGAGAACUCCACGGGAUCAACUCACUGCUUUGCAGGCAGCUGUCCCAAGUGGGGUUUUAGCCUGCGGGCUGUAUUGAGUUUGCCCAGGUCUUUGCUUGGUUGUAAUCUGAAAAAGGACCGGCUUCUUUCCCAGUGUAGACCACACUGUGCUUUAGAAGGUGGGGAAGAUUUGCGCUGCCCUUCCCCCACACCUACCCUCAACCCAGAGGAAGGAACGUGGGGCAGUAGGGCUGAGAAUUCCUAGUCUAAACAACCCAGGAAAGCACGCUCAGAGAGCCAAGCCAGAACCCCAGAUGGUGUGAUCCGAUUGUAACUGGAAGGAUGGUGGCUUUGGUUGUUAGAUGUUAUGUGACCGUUGCUGUUCAAGCAGACACAUUGGUGACUUCCAGGCUGCAGAGAUCAGAGCAGGCUCUCCUGUAUUUAUCUUCUUGUACCCGCAGGGUUAGGGGACCGAGUGGAAUAGCUAGAAUGGACAGACAGGUCUGGAGAGCCAGGCACAAGCAACAGGGGGAUGCAGGCGCCAGCCCAACCACACCAAGCGCACCACACCUCCAGGGCGCCAUGUGGGGUCCCUUUCCCUGGCCUCCCUGAUAGGAAGGAUCACUUUGGGGCUCCUCGGGAGGCCUUCAGAUGGAGCUGAAGAGCCCCUAGGCAGGGCCAAGAGCCCAGAGAAGGAGAUGUUUUCUAUUUCCGGGUCCCUGGGGGGCCCAGGGGCAGAUUGAGACAGGCUCCUUGCAGGGAAGGUGUUAACAAACAGCAGGUGAUUAAACAUGACAAGCGGUGACAUUUCUGUUCAGGGUUCUCAGUCCCGGCAAAGCCAAGAAUGAAGCUAUAAACCCUGACAUUUUGUGUUAUGCACUGAGAGGUUUUUAAUAGACCUCGCUCCCUCUUCCCCACUCAACUUCUCUCCCUCCUUUCCUUCCCCUCUCGGCAUCCACUGCCCCACUGGAAACUCCUGCCUCCUGGAUUCCACCGGGCCCCCAGGAGCCUUCCCGGGCCCUUGGUCCGUAGACCCUCCUUCCUCUGCCCGUGCAGGGCUGAGUACAACCCUGCCAUCUGCCUCUCCCACUUCACGGUGAUAUUUCUCGUUGCCCCUUCUCCCCGUCCCAACACCCUCCACUUCCCUCCAGCCUUCACUGUCUCACCUCCUGUUUUUGGGUCCUGAUCUCACAGCCUCACCCUUAGCUGCGGCUGUCCCAGUUGUCUGGGACAGCAGGUGGCUGUCCCUGUGUGUUGUGUUUAUAACAUUUUCAGACAAACUUGAAAGUGGGUGUAGGGAGAUGGUGGGGCUUGAUAUGGGAUUUUCCCCCAUCUUUUUUCAAUCUCCUUUUCUCCUUUUGGGACAGGGACAGGAGGUGGAGGGAGAGAGUCGCACUUCAUUGCAAACAGUUGCAGGAUUUAUUCAGAAAGGGACUGGCCAGCAACAGUUGUUCCUCUCGCCGAGAAAUGUUGGAACAACUGGGGCCUCUUUUGUUCUCUGGGCAGAGCCCUGUGAAGGGCGUUUGGAGGUGAGCCUGGGGCUCAAGAGGGCAGGAGACCCAAGAGAGGGGGCUUCAGCUCAGUCCCACCCAGGGAGUCCCCACCCCACCCCUCCAGGAAAGGUUCCUGGAGCCCCGAGGGGAUCAGUCCAGAAGCCAGGCCACGUCCCUGGGGCCUAGCGCCGCCCUCAUGAGCUCGAGAAGCACUGGAUUUUCCACAUUCGCUCAGUAAAUAUUUGUUGGGCCAGACACCGCGCUGAAACAGUGGUCUCGUCCCAGGGAUCUUGCAGUCUGGUGAGGCAGAGGGCUAAUUAAACAAGUUCCUACAAAAGUGCUAAGACUAGGACAGGGUGCAGUGAGGACAGAGGGAGACGACGGUCCCGGGAGGCUGCCCAGAGAGAGGGAAAUGUCAGCUGGGGCCCGUGAAGGCUGUGUAGGAGGAGGAGUGGCAGGGCGCUGAGCUGAAGGAGCGAGCGGUUUCCGCCACUGACGGGGCAGCAUGCUGAGGGCCUGGCAGGGAGAGGCCGGUGCUGCCCCACGUGGGCUGGCAGGCAGGUGGAGUAGGGUCUGGGCUGUGCCCUUUGAUCUCUGAGUAACUGACCCCUUACAUACUCUUCCAUCCACCCUUCCACCGCCCCGACCCACCUGGGCCAGGCACGGAGGUCAGGGUGAGGAGGGGGGUGAGGGUGAUGGAUAAAAGACUUUAAGGUAAAAAAAAAAAAA
ensembl:lncRNA